AUUGAACGCUGGCGGCAGGCUUAACACAUGCAAGUCGAGCGGGGGAAGGUAGCUUGCUACCGGACCUAGCGGCGGACGGGUGAGUAAUGCUUAGGAAUCUGCCUAUUAGUGGGGGACAACAUCUCGAAAGGGAUGCUAAUACCGCAUACGUCCUACGGGAGAAAGCAGGGGAUCUUCGGACCUUGCGCUAAUAGAUGAGCCUAAGUCGGAUUGGCUAGUUGGUGGGGUGAAGGCCUACCAAGGCGACGAUCUGUAGCGGGUCUGAGAGGAUGAUCCGCCACACUGGGACUGAGACACGGCCCAGACUCCUACGGGAGGCAGCAGUGGGGAAUAUUGGACAAUGGGGGGAACCCUGAUCCAGCCAUGCCGCGUGUGUGAAGAAGGCCUUAUGGUUGUAAAGCACUUUAAGCGAGGAGGAGGCUACUCUAGUUAAUACCUAGGGAUAGUGGACGUUACUCGCAGAAUAAGCACCGGCUAACUCUGUGCCAGCCGCCGCCGUAAGAC
rnacentral:rRNA from 1 species